ACGGGUGAGUAACGCGUGAGUAACCUGCCUUCAAGAGGGGGAUAACAUUCUGAAAAGAAUGCUAAUACCGCAUGACAUAUCGGAACCACAUGGUUUUGAUAUCAAAGAUUUUAUCGCUUGAAGAUGGACUCGCGUCCGAUUAGUUAGUUGGUGAGGUAACGGCUCACCAAGACCGCGAUCGGUAGCCGGACUGAGGGGUUGAACGGCCACAUUGGGACUGAGACACGGCCCAGACUCCUACGGGAGGCAGCAUG
rnacentral:rRNA from 1 species